rnacentral:lncRNA from 1 species
CUAGAUUCUUUAGUUUCAUAGGAAAGGUUGUGGUUUCAUUGAUCUAAACAGAAAAACAGUAGACUUCCUGCAAUGUUCCAUUGUUACUAUUUACUCCAUAGUCAACUCAACACCAUCUAAGUGGAAAGAAAAUAUUGAGGUUGUUCUGCCCGAUGAAUUACUAAUGGUGCUCCCAACAGUAGAAGACUGGAACCAAGUUGAAUUACUUCAGAGACAAAGAAAUGAAGCCAUAUGUUCAAGUGAUCAGGAAAAAGAAAAAGAACCUAUAUGCCCCAGCUGACAGUAGAAGCUGAAGAUGAAGUUGAAGGUGUGGAAGCUGAAGGGAGCUGUGCUUCCCACCCUGUUAUCAAGGAUGACUGUAACACUGGAGGACACAGAAUUUUGGAAAUGACAGAAUCCCACUUGGAAACUAACUUCCCCUUAACAGUUGGAAAGAUGGAACUGCACUCAAUCAGGUUCUUCACUGCAUAUGUGUAGGUGGACUUGAUUCUUGAUUUGGCUGAAGGAAUGCUACUUGAAUGGAGAAAAACAUUAGAUGAAUACUUUGAAAGAGACCAGUCAAGAAAAAGGCAAGAUCAGUCCAUCAAACUGUGAAUACCCUUUGACCAAGCAAAAUCACUACUAGCACUACUACAUCUGUAUCCCAAAGAGAUUAAAGGUAGAGGAAAAGAAAAAUGCCUGUAAAUAUAUACAUACAUACAUAUAUAUACACACACACAAUUUAUAUGUGUGU